rnacentral:rRNA from 1 species
CCUACGGGGGGCUGCAGUGGGGGAUAUUGCACAAUGGGGGAAACCCUGAUGCAGCGACGCCGCGUGUGGGAAGACGGUCCUCUGGAUUGUAAACCACUGUCCCCAGGGACGAAGAUGACGGUACCUGGGGAGGACGCUCCGGCUAACUACGUGCCAGCAGCCGCGGUAAUACGUAGGGAGCGAGCGUUGUCCGGAAUUACUGGGUGUAAGGGGAGCGUAGGCGGGACUGCAAGUUGGGUGUCAAAUCUACCGGCUCAACCGGUAGCCGCACUCAAAACUGCAGUUCUUGAGUGAAGUAGAGGCAGGCGGAAUUCCUAGUGUAGCGGUGAAAUGCGUAGAUAUUAGGAGGAACACCAGUGGCGAAGGCGGCCUGCUGGGCUUUUACUGACGCUGAGGCUCGAAAGUGUGGGGAGCAAACAGGAUUAGAUACCCGAGUAGUC